AAAUACUUGAAGAGUGGGAGAAAAACUAAGAAAACGAUGUAGUUUUCCAAAAAUCAAUCAAUUUCUCGAAACCCAUAAGAAGCCCAUACAGGCAUACAAUGCAAGCAUACAACCCUGAGAGAAAGCAGAGCCCUGUCUCGAAUCCAACAAAACCACAUUCAAAAGAGGGUUUGGUUUCUACAGAUCUUUGUCCUUCCUCUCUCUGUCUCCCGCUCUCGCUAAAACAUGGCAGCAAUGUCUACGAGGAAAUUCCUCACGCUAAACCCACUAUCCAGCUCUCCUUUGAAACAAUCACUCCUUUUCUUAUCUUCUCUCAACUACUCUACCAAGUCUUCUGCUUUUGGUGCCAGAAACAAAAACACAGCAACAGAAAAGCUAAGUGACAUCGAUGACAACGCUGAAAACGAUUCUGUACCCACUUCAGGAAUAAGUAGGCCACUCUCUGAAAUACUCAAAGAACUCAACAAAAAGGUCCCUGAAACUCUUGUUAGUCAGCGUGUUGAUAAUGGGUUUUCGAUCAAAUAUGUCCCUUGGCAUAUUGUUAACAGGAUUAUGAAUUUACAUGCUCCAGAAUGGUCUGGUGAGGUUCGGAGCAUCACUUAUUCACCUGAUAGCAAGUCUGUAUCUGUUGUUUACCGUGUCACUCUCUAUGGGACUGAUGCUGAGUUGUGUCUUAAUCGAACUCUGAUGCCUAAACCAGAGGAAGUAGUUGUGAAAGGCAUAUAAGGCUAAUAAAAUUGAGAGCAAGAAGAUGUGCAUUCCUGAGCAGACUGGUUGAUACUUUUUACUUGAGGUGAUCUUAUUUCAUAUUUUUUGCUUGAGAGGUAAGGGGGGACCUUUUCAACUACGGUAGGCAAAAUGUGUCAUUAAGAAAAUAAAGUCUUGAGUGUUCAGGACUCCAUUGACGCUGCAUUUCUCUGAUGAAAGAGUAGACAACACAGCUAAUAGGACAGCUCAUGACAUGGGAGAUUUCUCUUAUUGAUCUUCUUAGUUCUUCAGUUUGAUGUUUUUCAAAAGUGGCUUGUUCUUAACAGAGCCUAACGGUGUGGCGAAAGAGUAAAAAAUAAGGAACAACAUUAGAAAUUUUGGGGUCUAAAACUGUCUGAGAUAUACUUUUCCAGUUAAGCUAUACAGGGAGUCGACCGGAACUGCUGCUUUGGAUGAGAUAGGUUUUGGAGAUCCUGUGCAAAAGGCAGAAGCAAUGGCAUUUCG